UACGGAGGGGGCGAGCGUUGUUCGGAAUCACUGGGUGUAAAGGGUGCGUAGGCGGUGCGUUAAGUCUGAUGUGAAAGCCCUGGGCUCAACUCAGGAAUUGCAUUGGAAACUGGCGUGCUGGAGUACGGGAGAGGGAAGCGGAAUUCCUGGUGUAGCGGUGAAAUGCGUAGAUACCAGGAGGAACACCGGUGGCGAAGGCGGUUUCCUGGCCCAGUACUGACGCUGAGGCACGAAAGCGUGGGGAGCGAACAGGG
rnacentral:rRNA from 1 species